GAAGCUCAGAAAUGACACAUAUGGCCAUGCUUACACUUUAAACGUGGUGAAGAAAAGACAUGAGGGUGUGAGUCUCCCAGAACACCGCUGCUCGUGACUGCUUCUUGCCUCAGGCUGGAGCUAGGAAAGGCUGCUCCCAGAAAGCUGUGAGGGAGCAAAAGGCUACAGGUACUAUAAGCUUUCUUCUUGGCAAGGAGGCUUAGCUGAUUCCUAGAAAUGAGCAAGCUGGCACCUACUUCUAGCAACAGACAAAUUUUAAGUAAUCCUGUGCCUAAAGUCUACAUACAUCUCAUGUUCUGGUUGUGGUAUAUCCUGAUUCAUCAAGUGGACACUCAAGAGCAAUACUACAAAUAAUAAUAUUUUAUUUAACAGUGUUUUCUAUAUUAAAUAGAAACUGAAACAUGCUGUGGGAAAUGGAAUUUUUUUUAAAUGAAACUUUGAUUUUAUUAAUUCAACUACAAGGCAUCUUAGAAUGUGACAGUCUGUUUUCUGGAUUAUUUUAUUCCUUAUAUACAGCAGCAAUGAAUGAUCUUCACCUCAUUAACUUUAUGUGUCUACAGUCUUGUGAUCAUGUCUGAAGCACAUCUGAACUUCCUUUGCUAUCAAUGGAGGGAAACAAGCACUUUCUAGUCUACCAUUCAUUUCAGAAAGCAACUUUAGCAUUAAGUGUGUCGCUUUGUAGAAACAGCCUUUUCAUUAUAUGAUAAAUGGACUCUAGAAAGCUAAUUCAGAUAUAUAUGUCCAGCCUUGGUCUUAUGAAUCAUGCUCCUGAUGCCUACACUAGACUGCCAUACACAUUUGGAAGAACAGCAUGACUGUUCCAGGUGCCUGACUUUCAGCUGGCUAUUACUGAGAAGCCAUGGGUUAAAGCAGUCUCUGAUUAGGAGGAAAAAAACAGUGAGAAGUCUGGAAAUAAGGGAUGGGAGUAUCAGCUGUGCCAAAGACAAAAUUGUCUGCUCUGAGAAGCUAAAUUAUUUCCCUGGCUAAAAUCCAGAGUCAAUAUUGUUCUGUUUGAAAUAUGCAGGCAAGUUGGCAAGAUCUAUGCACCACCCCUCUUUAACUGCACACUGUGAACACCUCUGUGGAGAGGUCCAAAGGUUUUUGCAUGUGAAAACAGGGAGAGGAUAGUCCUACAUACUAUCCCAUGAGGACUGAAUAAGUGAUUUUGGAGCUAUACGCUGUCUCUAACUGUCAAAAUGGACUUACAAUGCAUUUCAGAAAGUCAUCUGUGAAACAGCUCAAAGAAGGAAAAUGCAAACAAACCACAGUCAAAACCAAAUAAAUAUGGAUAAAAUUGAGGAUUCUCCUGCUUC
rnacentral:lncRNA from 1 species